rnacentral:rRNA from 1 species
GAUGAACGCUGGCGGCGUGCCUAAUACAUGCAAGUCGAGCGAACGGACGAGAAGCUUGCUUCUCUGAUGUUAGCGGCGGACGGGUGAGUAACACGUGGAUAACCUACCUAUAAGACUGGGAUAACUUCGGGAAACCGUAGCUAAUACCGGAUAAUAUUUUUAACCGCAUGGUUCAACAGUGAAAGACGGUCUUUCUGUCACUUAUAGAUGGAUCCGCGCUGCAUUAGCUAGUUGGUAAGGUAACGGCUUACCAAGGCAACGAUGCAUAGCCGACCUGAGAGGGGGAUCGGCCACACGGGAACUGAGACACGGACCAGACUCCUACGAGAGGCAGCAGUAGGGAAUCUUCCGCAAUGGGCGAGAGCCUGACGGAGCAGCGCCGCGUGAGUGAUGAAGGUCUUCGGAUCGUAAAACUCUGUUAUUAGUGAAAAACAUAUGUGUAAGUAACUGUACACAUCGUGACGGUACCUAAACAAAAAGCCACGGCUAACUACGUG